UGGCUGCAGUGGGGAAUCUUGCGCAAUGGGCGAAAGCCUGACGCAGCGACGCCGCGUGGGUGACGAAGGCCUUCGGGUCGUAAAGCCCUGUGGGGAGGAACGAACAAGUCGAAAGACCCUGACGGUACCUCCUUAGCAAGCACCGGCCAACUCCGUGCCAGCAGCCGCGGUAAGACGGAGGGUGCGAACGUUGUUCGGAAUUACUGGGCGUAAAGCGCGUGUAGGCGGUGCGCGAAGUCGGGCGUGAAAGCCCUCGGCUCAACCGGGGAACUGCGCUCGAUACUGGCGGACUGGAGUUCGGGAGAGGGAAGUGGAAUUCCCGGUGUAGAAGUGAAAUUCGUAGAUAUCGGGAGGAACACCGGUGGCGAAGGCGGCUUCCUGGACCGUGACUGACGCUGCAACGCGAAAGCGUGGGGAGCAAACAGGAUUAGAUACCCCGGUAGUC
rnacentral:rRNA from 1 species